GCCAAGAAGAUUAUAGAUUGCUGAUCCAAGGAUGGUGCUGACGCCGAUAUCUCCCUUUGUCACGAAGACUCCUAUAAAGAAAAUGACUCUCUGGGAAAGCCAUGCUACUGUGUCUUCACAUACCAGAAAUACUAGUUAAAUUCAAACCAGUGCUGCGAUCUUAAAUUUUCACUUCGUAUGGACAGUAUAAGAGCCUGUGUCUUGCUUGAAUGAAAUGAGAUUUUUGUUCUGGUAAGUUGACUGUUUCUGAAAUGUAACUCACUAUGUGGAUCAAGUUCUGCACGCUAAGAACAGGGACAUAUGGCUAACUAUGGAAAGUCUCACAAAUGCUUAUUUAUCAUCAAUAAAAUAAUACCAGAUCUACA